rnacentral:sRNA from 1 species
UCGAAGGAGACGGUACGGUAUCCUCGGA